GACAUACAAGUUAUUGUGGUAGAAUUUGCUCACAAAAUAGCGGCUUUGUUGAUUUUAUUUAUUCUGAAAAAGAAAUCACGAUGGAAUAAAAUAUUUUUACAAUGAACUAAAAUUAUAAACAUUCAAAAAAUAAAAUAAAAUAAGGGUAUUUCACGUGAGAUGUUGUCACACUGGAAUAAGUAAACAUUUUGAUACGUGCGUUGUAUGUUACUAUCUGAAAUGUUGCCGAUGAUAAUCUGAUCAGACCAAGGAGCAUAGAGCCCGCGAGGCGACCAGAGGAGUCCUGUGUUGUCUUCGCCCAGCGCUCACACAGCUCAGUGCGAGCCGAGUGCUGCAAAUGGCCGCCGGCGGCAACAGGAAGCUGCUAUCGGCGGGCGGAACAGGAACCCGCUGUGACGUCACGCAGCGAGUGUGUCCUGUUGCCCACGAGGACAGGUCUCCAGGGAGCGACGCAGUGUAGCUGCGCUCUAUUCUGAGACAGGAUCGGCGGUCGCUGCGAAUCAUCACUCAUCCGGGACAGGACAAGACGUUCAACAGCUUCAAGCUUCAAGUGCGGUCCACGCUACCGGCCAUGCGGUUUGCUGGAUCCGCCUUGUGCUGUGGUGUUGAGGCCUGUCCUCAUGGGCCCUGAAGCAAUGAAGUGACCGCACACACGUAUCAGGAAAGCCGGCAGCUUUUUUAUUUUUUGGCAUGAUUUACUUACCUUUUUACAACGUUACCCUAAGUGGAAAUUUUUUUUUGUGGACUUAAUCUCAUCAGACUUUUCGUCAACCAUGUUUUUCUCUUUUUUUUAAUUAAAUUUUUUGGACCAACAAAACAACGUUUUAUCUAAUUUAUAAUUUUUGAAACAACGAAACAGCUUAACGAC